rnacentral:misc_RNA from 1 species
UCUCGGCUUAUCACCGGCAGUCCCCCUAGAGUGCCCAACUGAAUGAUGGCAACUAAGGGCGAGGGUUGCGCUCGUUGCGGGACUUAACCCAACAUCUCACGACACGAGCUGACGACAGCCAUGCACCACCUGUAUACCGACCUUGCGGGGGCUACAUCUCUGGAGGGUUCCUGGCAUGUCAAGGGUAGGUAAGGUUUUUCGCGUUGCAUCGAAUUAAUCCACAUAAUCCACCGCUUGUGCGGGUCCCCGUCAAUUCCUUUGAGUUUUAGCCUUGCGGCCGUACUCCCCAGGCGGGGUGCUUAAUGCGUUAGCUGCGGCACGGAAGGAGUCGACACCUCCCACACCUAGCACCCAUCGUUUACGGCGUGGACUAC